rnacentral:lncRNA from 1 species
GAGACCCCAUGAGGAGAAGGGGCAGAGAGUGACCAUGGAGGAGCAGCAGAGACAAAGCAGUAAUGACUGACCUUAGCCCCCAUUUCCUGUUAUGCUGCACUGCUCAGGGGAAGAGGUAGAGGAGGGUGGAUAGGGGAAGGUGUUUUUAGUUUGCUUUUAAUUCUCACCGUAGUAGUGUGCUAUCAAUAGGCAGUAAAUUACAUUUGUCUGUCUACGCUGACUGUUUUUCCAGUGGUGGUAAUUGCUGACAUCAAACCAAAAGUCAAAACAUUAUUCUGACUGAAUCAAUGCAUCAUGUCCUGUGGCUGCCUGCAAUGUGAUUGUGUACCCCCGUGCGACCCAUGACAAGUCUGGCUUGUUUUGCAGUGUGGUAACGCACACGUCUGGUAUUGAGACUGAUGAAAUCACAGCCUUGCUUCUUCCCCAGGCUGUGCUCUCUUUUGCUUAACUUCUGCAGCUGUGAGGCUUCAACCUCAGCAGCACCUGCCAUGGUUGCCCUCAGUGCACUCCUGGUUACUACACCAACCUCAUCAGCCUGUUACUUCCUCAAUUAUUUUUAAUCCCUCUAAAGCUGCUUUGGGACUGCACGCUGCAAAAAGCAGGCCAAACCUUCAAACCGUUUCCUUCUGUGACUCAUAAUGAAGGAGGUAUGCUGCAAACCCCAUGCAGCAGGGUGUGACUCUAUGGCAAACGUGUUCGUACAGGACCUCACUGAGCGCUUUUAAAACACUCUGCUUAUUUCUGUCGAAGUAAUGAAUGUGUUCUGUAAGUAAAAAUGCUCCUGAGCUACCAGUUUUCAUGUUAAAUAUUUUGGUUUUAAAAGGUCCACUACCUAAAUAAAAUUCCAGACACGUUUAUUGAAAACAAUGUUCUCUCUUUUUCUUUUCUUUUUUUCUUUUUUUUUUUUU